GCCCAGCUCGCUCAACUGGUAGAGCAGGGGACUCUGGAUCUCGAGGUCGUGGGUUCGAGCCCCACGUUGGGUG